rnacentral:rRNA from 1 species
AACGAACGCUGGCGGCGUGCCUAACACAUGCAAGUCGCACGUGAAAGCCCGCAAGGGUGAGUAAAGUGGCGCACGGGUGAGUAACACGUGGGUAACCUGCCCUCGAGUGGGGAAUAACCCAGGGAAACUUGGGCUAAGACCGCAUGACCUCCCCGGAUCUAUGGAUCUGGGGAGCAAAGGUGGCCUCUGCUUGCAAGCUACCGCUCGAGGA